GAUGAACGCUAGCGGCAGGCUUAAUACAUGCAAGUCGAGGGGCAGCAGGACUGUAGCAAUACAGUUGCUGGCGACCGGCAAACGGGUGCGGAACACGUACGCAAUCUACCCAGAACUGAUGAAUAGCCCUCCGAAAGGAGGAUUAAUACAUCGUAACAUAAUGAAGUGGCAUCACUUUAUUAUUAUAGCUCCGGCGGUUUUGGAUGAGCGUGCGCCNGAUUAGGUAGUUGGCGGGGUAACGGCCCACCAAGCCUUCGAUCAGUAACUGGUGUGAGAGCACGACCAGUCACACGGGCACUGAGACACGGGCCCGACUCCUACGGGAGGCAGCAGUAAGGAAUAUUGGUCAAUGGACGCAAGUCUGAACCAGCCAUGCCGCGUGAAGGAUGAAGGUCCUCU
rnacentral:rRNA from 1 species